rnacentral:rRNA from 1 species
CAGCAGCCGCGGGAAUACGUAGGGUGCGAGCGUUAAUCGGAAUUACUGGGCGUAAAGCGUGCGUAGGCGGCUUUUUAAGUCGGAUGUGAAAUCCCUGAGCUUAACUUAGGAAUUGCAUUCGAUACUGGGAAGCUAGAGUAUGGGAGAGGAUGGUAGAAUUCCAGGUGUAGCGGUGAAAUGCGUAGAGAUCUGGAGGAAUACCGAUGGCGAAGGCAGCCAUCUGGCCUAAUACUGACGCUGAGGUACGAAAGCAUGGGGAGCAAACAGGAUUAGAUACCCGAGUAGUCCCUGUCUCUUAUAA